rnacentral:rRNA from 1 species
GGGGGAUAUUGCACAAUGGAGGAAACUCUGAUGCAGCAACGCCGCGUGAGGGAAGAAGGUCUUCGGAUUGUAAACCUUUGUCCUUGGUGACGAAACAAAUGACGGUAGCCAAGGAGGAAGCUCCGGCUAACUACGUGCCAGCAGCCGCGGUAAUACGUAGGGAGCAAGCGUUGUCCGGAUUUACUGGGUGUAAAGGGUGCGUAGGCGGCUCUGCAAGUCAGGCGUGAAAACUAUGGGCUUAACCCAUAGACUGCGUUUGAAACUGUGGGGCUUGAGUGAAGUAGAGGUAGGCGGAAUUCCCGGUGUAGCGGUGAAAUGCGUAGAUAUUAGGAAGAACACCAGUGGCGAAGGCGGCUUUCUGGACUGAAACUGACGUUGAGGCACGAAAGCAUGGGUAGCAAAC